rnacentral:rRNA from 1 species
GGACUACUGGGGUUUCUAAUCCCGUUCGCUCCCCCAGCUUUCGCGCCUCAGCGUCAAGAAUGCCCCAGGAGACCGCCUUCGCCACUGGUGUUCCUACCGAUCUCUACGCAUUUCACCGCUACACCGGUAAUUCCAUCUCCCCCUCGCACCUUCAAGACCGACAGUAUCCACCGACCCUCCGGGGUUGAGCCCCGGGCUUUCACAGCGGACUGAUCGACCCGCCUACGCGCCCUUUACGCCCAGUAACUUCGGACAACGCUCGCCCCCUCCGUAUUACCGCGGCUGCUGGCAC